UUGGCUCAGGAUGAACGCUGGCGGCGUGCCUAACACAUGCAAGUCGAACGGUGCUGUUGCAGAGGAAGCUUCGGCAGAAUCAGCAGCAGCAUAGUGGCGGACGGGUGAGUAACGCGUGGGGAACCUGCCUCAGACCGGGGGAUAGCAGCUGGAAACGGCUGGUAAUACCGCAUAAGCGCACAGCUCCGCAUGGAGCGGUGUGAAAAACUCCGGUGGUCUGAGAUGGACCCGCGUCUGAUUAGCCAGUUGGUGAGGUAACGGCCCACCAAAGCGACGAUCAGUAGCCGGCCUGAGAGGGCGGACGGCCACAUUGGGACUGAGACACGGCCCAGACUCCUACGGGAGGCAGCAGUGGGGAUA
rnacentral:rRNA from 1 species